AUGAAACACAGGAAUGAAGAUGCAGCAAUUCAUAAUUUGAGGAGGCAUCCCAGCCCCAUGAUUUCUCAAAGACACCGUGAAGACACAGCUGCUAUCAUUACAAGGAUGGCCCAGUGUUCUCUUGCCCACGGAGAGCAGACUGUUGGAACAUUUACCAGUAUACAACCAGUAUACCAGUAUCUCCACCAUACCAUGGGGGAGAAUGGGGAAGGAGCAGAGGAAAGAGAAACCAAAGAAGGAAGCACAGUGUUUUUUCAUUUGGUUUUUCUGUUUGCCCUCAGCAUCCAACCGCCAUGGUGUGCUCUGAGUACAUGUCCACAGAAGCUCAUGCCAAAAUAUCUCCAGAAACACACAAACACCCCAUCCCCACCACUAAGAAGUAAAAGCACUUUACUUGAAAAAAAUCAACUUUAUUUUUUCUAGGUUAAAAAAAAAUAGAACCAGCUAUUCAUUUUGUUGUUGUUGUUGUUGUUGUUGUUGUUGAGAAAACGCUUCUUUUGGUGUUCACAUCUAAAUUUCUGAAAAGGUGAUCUGGUUACUAAAAUAAUCCCAUAUGCAUUCCUAAACCAGAUCCACGUGUGACCAGCCCUUUACAAAAAUUAAUUACAGUUGACACAGCCUUUACAUUCAUUCUGAGCAUACAUUACAACAUGCAGAUAACAAAGAAAGAAAAACAGGUCGACAGCUGAAGUAAACAUAUGGCAUCCAGAAAACUGAAACCCAUCUGUAUAAAAUAAAUACAACUUUGUAAUAACUGUAAAGAAAAUGAAAGCACUUAAUGUAACAAUGGCAGGUCCAUGUGUACCUGUUUCAUCACCCAGUCAAGAGAGAAGUUACUGUAAAAUGCAGACCCCUCACAUGUAGAACUUGGGCAUCAGUCUUGUAUGUUUGACAGUUUUACACAAUAAAAAUAAAGCCAUUCAAAAUAUGUGUGCGUACUUUGCAACUAGAAUACACUUAAAAAUUUUUUGCUCUUUCAAUUGUUUUAAAAAAUAUUAACUGUAAAAAUCCUCAAAUGGAGAUUUUUGUGGAAAAACCCCUAUUUUAUCUUCCACAUGGCUAGUCACCCUCCCCAGCAGUUCAGCACCCUCAGCGGAUUCCCAGGGUCCAGUUCCUAAUUGUUGAGGAUCAAUGCAAAAUGAUUGCAAUAAAGCACCAUCCAGCGACUGCUCCAGAGAACACUCGGCCCCUUUGUGAUCUAGAAACGUUCAGUGUCGGUGGUUUUGGUCCCAAACAUAUUAGUCUCCAUCCCCUCAUAGAAUAGAACCAGUAUACCUGCUGCCCAGCGCUGCUUUCAACUUGACCUUUCACGUUAACAGUCGUAAGGUUCACAUCACUAUG
rnacentral:lncRNA from 1 species